rnacentral:rRNA from 1 species
UACGUAGGGUGCAAGCGUUGUCCGGAAUUAUUGGGCGUAAAGAGCUCGUAGGCGGUUUGUUGCGUCGGCUGUGAAAUCCCGAGGCUCAACCUCGGGUCUGCAGUCGAUACGAGCAAACUAGAGUGUUGCAGGGGAGACUGGAAUUCCUGGUGUAGCGGUGAAAUGACGCAGAUAUCAGGAGGAACACCGGUGGCGAAGGCGGGGUCUCUGGGCAACAACUGACGCUGGAGGAAGCGAAAGGCGUGGGGAGCGAACAGG